rnacentral:rRNA from 1 species
UACGUAGGGGGCAAGCGUUGUCCGGAAUUAUUGGGCGUAAAGAGCGUGUAGGCGGUCCGGUAAGUCAGCUGUGAAAGUCAAGGGCUCAACCCUUGAAAGCCGGUUGAUACUGUCGGGCUAGAGUCCGGAAGAGGCGAGUGGAAUUCCCGGUGUAGCGGUGAAAUGCGCAGAUAUCAGGAAGAACACCAAUGGCGAAGGCAGCUCUCUGGGACGGUACUGACGCUGAGGUGCGAAAGCGUGGGGAGCAAACAGG